GCCUGAGUGGCUCAGUCAGUUAAGCGUCUGCCUUCGGCUCAGGGCGUGAUCCCGGCGUCAUGGGAUCAAGCCCCAUAUCAGGCU
rnacentral:tRNA from 1 species